CUCCAAAUUAUUUCUAUACUUUUUUUUGACAUUUUUGUUUUUUAAUUUAGUAAUUGUUACUGUUUUUUUUUUACCUCUUUCCAGUUAUUCCAUUUAGUUGAAACCCUAGCCCAUAUUGCCAUGGGUUCUUUCUGCCAUUAAAUUGCUCUAGAUCUCUACUAUUUGGUUUUAUUAAAAUCAAAUUGCACAAAUUGAAGUUAAGCGCAGCUACAAUUACCUUUACCGGAAUUUCAGCUACAGGUAUGUCUGUCGAAUCAUGCAUCUGUUUUAUCCAUCUUUAUUGAGUUUUGUAGAAAUUGUUUGGUUAAUUAUCAUUAUUUUAAUGUGUCGCUGUGAACUUAUUUUACUCUGUGCACGGUAUAAGAAACAAAUAAUUUCUCCAGUAUUAGAGAUGUGGAGUCUUGACUAUGUUAAAGUGUUAAAAGUUAAAAAUCUCGGAGAAAAAUGUUAUUUUAACUCGUGUCUGACUCUCUAAAGCUCAAGUUCUAUCUUUAGUUUCAUUUUAGUUAAUUCUGAUCAUAUGUAUUAAAAAAUGUGGAAGUUAUUCCAAUCUAUUGAAUGAAGAUGAUUAAAAUCAAUAACCUUAAAGACUAUUCUUGUGCCUUGGAUUGCAGUAGAGUAUCAUGACACAGCCAUUAGCAUGGCUUCAACCUCUAGCUUUUGUGGCUGAGUAGUAGUUUCAACUACUUUUGACCUAUUUGAUAGCUAUUGGAUAUCUCUUAUGGAAUCAGCAAAAUUGAUUUCAUUUGUUUUCGUCCAAUCAUAUUUUUCUCAACCUUCAGAUUUCUGAAAAAGGAAUAUUGAUCUUUAUAGGAAGUGCAAUUUAUUGUUAAAAUGGAAUGCAACAAUGAGUGUUCCAUACGAUAAAAGAUUAGUUCAAAGGAAAGUUUUCAGAAGUCAAAAGAAGAGACCUAUGCACUUCAAUAACACUUUAAGAGGCUAAAAGGAUAAUACAAAAUUAAAUAGGUUCCCAUUAGAUGAUAUCAUUUCCUUUUCUCCUAAAACAGCAACAAUCAAGUGUAUAAUACUAUAAGUGGGGUUUAGGGAGGGUGUAGUGUAUUCAAACUUCACCCCUACCCUUCAUCUUAUCAAUACCAUUUCAACAUACCUCAAGUUUUUCACUAUCUUCCAUAUGGAUUGAUAUUACAUAACCAUUGAGUUUUUCAAUUUGAUGCUAAUCAAAUUUUGUCUUCACACUACUACUAAAUGAAGGAGGGAUUACGCUUGUGUGGAGAAAGUGCGCAGCCUUGGCAACAAUAAUCAAAAUUCCCAAUCUGUUUGACCAUGUGAGGACCUUUCUUGGAGUAGUUCUGCAAGUAAAUAUGAUGUUUUUUCCAAGCUCGGCAUGUAUUCCCUAUAGUUCAUUGGUCGUGUUGAAAUAAAUAAAAUGAACAACUCAAAAAGAGUUUGUCUAAACAUUUUGUUGUGCAAAUGUCAGCCAACAAACCAAGCAAUAAACAUACAAUCUAUAUCUCGACAAAUCAAUGAAAUGCUAACAUAGAUUGAAUUUCCAAAGGAUUAAGACGAGGUGGAAUCAAACAGGCUCAACUGGAAAAGAGCAUUCACAUUGUAUUGGCAAAAGAUCUCUUCAGUCUUAGAAUCAUAAGCACACAAAGCCAUCAGUUUUGGGGAGAAACUUAAGAAGAAAGGUUGAAAACUUACCAAUUUGAGUUGUAGGGUGAUCUGAUUCUUUUUUCCUUCAUUUAAAAUAUGAAAAACCAAUUUUCAUGGAAGAAAGCAAUAUAUACUCUUUAUAAUAUCCAGUGGGAAGUGUUGUAGUGUGUUUCUUUUAAUAAUACUAGGAUGAAGCUUUUACUUUAUUUUUUUUAUUCUUUUGAUUUUUUGUUUUGUGUUCUAUAAUCUAAGUUCGCAUUGCAUGAGACUCAUUUGAGGAAAAUAUUUACCGGUAAGAGAUUUUUUUACUACUUUUUUAGUGUUACUUUUAUUGUCAUUGUCACUGCUACUGCUACAUGGGAUUACAAUUAUUACUUGUUCUCUUUCUUUUUCUCCUUGUCCAAGUUCAAUUUAUAAAGUUAAGCACCAUCUAAAAGGAGAAAAAAAAAGAGAUAACAAGAAAUUAACUUUAAGUUGAUAUGUGAAUUUUUUUUGAUACUUAGUGAAUUGUUGAAUUUGAGGGAUGCUACAAAACAGAAGUUGAAAUAACAUUACCAAGGACAACGUAUACUUGAGGUUUAUAUUCUAAUGUAACCAAUGUGAUGUUGACCUCUUCAAGUUAUAAUCAACAAAACUUGCUUAGAGCUUGUUUAAUAUUAUUGCUUGUUCUUUAGAUAUUAUUAAUACAUAACAGUGGUAAUGUCUUAUUUUAGUACCUAAACUCUUAUAUAUAAGACAUUUUCAUUUAUUUACUUAAGUGUUGAUCCAAAUUAUUUUUCUUAAGAAGAUUUUGUGAGGAAUGAAUUAUUAGACUGUACUGAUUAUUGAAAAGACAGGUACAUCAUUGCAAACUUGUAGUUGUCGUGGUAGUAGCUUCAUUAGUUCUUCCAUUCCCUGUAAUUCUGUUCAAUAGCUAUCACAGAAAUUUUGCAAAACUGUUUCUAGAGAGCCUGUAAUUCCUGAAUACUGAAUAUAUAAGACCAUUGUUGAACCAAAUUUACUUAUACAACAAUUCAGUAGCUGCGUUCAGUUUAGCUGGUUCUCUGCCAAAGUUCUGGUACCUUCUCUUGCAAUUCUUGCUAGGCAAUCUAUCCGAAUUCUAUUGUGGGACAAAAGAUCAUGGAAAGGGGAGAUGGUGGAAUAUAGAAACCAAUCAAUUACUUGUAAAUUAUGUGGAGUUAAUCAAGAACUAACUUGGUUUCUCACAGCAGUCUAUGCAUCCUGUGAUAGAAAUGAAAGGAUGGAGUUGUGGGAAGAAUUUGAAGCUAUGAGGAGUCUCUGUGAAGGGUUGUGGUGUCACCUGCUAAGCUGAUCGCAUUUUUUUUCGCUUUUUCCCUCUCUCAAACUUGACUUCAUUUCUCUUAUUUUCAUCUUUAUUUACAUGUUGAAUGUAUUCUUUAGUUUUAACUUGCCCCUUUUAUCUUUCGAUCAACUUGCUUGUUCCUUUACAUAUGCUUUCCUCUAUAUACUAGAAUUUCUUUGUAUCUUAUAUUUUUACAAAUACCAACUUCCUAUUCUACCUUGUUUAUAUAACAUGGCAAGUUGGAGAUCA